UUAAGCGACUAAGCGUACACGGUGGAUGCCCUGGCAGUCAGAGGCGAUGAAGGACGUGCUAAUCUGCGAAAAGCGUCGGUAAGGUGAUAUGAACCGUUAUAGCCGGCGAUGUCCGAAUGGGGAAACCCAGUGCAAUUCGUUGCACUAUCGUUUGAUGAAUACAUAGUCAAACGAGGCGAACCGGGGGAACUGAAACAUCUAAGUACCCCGAGGAAAAGAAAUCAACCGAGAUUCCCCCAGUAGCGGCGAGCGAACGGGGAGCAGCCCGGAGUCUGAAUCAGCUUGUGUGUUAGUGGAAGCGUCUGGAAAGUCGCAGGGUACAGGGUGAUACUCCCGUACACUAAAACACACAGGUUGUGAACUCGAAGAGUAGGGCGGGACACGUGGUAUCCUGUCUGAAUAUGGGGGGACCAUCCUCCAAGGCUAAAUACUCCUGACUGACCGAUAGUGAACCAGUACCGUGAGGGAAAGGCGAAAAGAACCCCGGCGAGGGGAGUGAAAAAGAACCUGAAACCGUGUACGUACAAGCAGUAGGAGCCCACUAGUUGGGUGACUGCGUACCUUUUGUAUAAUGGGUCAGCGACUUAUAUUCUGUAGCAAGGUUAACCGUAUGGGGGAGCCGCAGGGAAACCGAGUCUUAACUGGGCGUUAAGUUGCAGGGUAUAGACCCGAAACCCGGUGAUCUAGCCAUGGGCAGGUUGAAGGUUGGGUAACACUAACUGGAGGACCGAACCGACUAAUGUUGAAAAAUUAGCGGAUGACUUGUGGCUGGGGGUGAAAGGCCAAUCAAACCGGGAGAUAGCUGGUUCUCCCCGAAAGCUAUUUAGGUAGCGCCUCGUGAACUCAUCUUCGGGGGUAGAGCACUGUUUCGGCUAGGGGGUCAUCCCGACUUACCAACCCGAUGCAAACUACGAAUACCGAAGAAUGUUAUCACGGGAGACACACGUCGGGUGCUAACGUCCGUCGUGAAGAGGGAAACAACCCAGACCGCCAGCUAAGGUCCCAAAGUCAUGGUUAAGUGGGAAACGAUGUGGGAAGGCCCAGACAGCCAGGAUGUUGGCUUAGAAGCAGCCAUCAUUUAAAGAAAGCGUAAUAGCUCACUGGUCGAGUCGGCCUGCGCGGAAGAUGUAACGGGGCUAAACCAUGCACCGAAGCUGCGGCAGCGACACUAUGUGUUGUUGGGUAGGGGAGCGUUCUGUAAGCCGUUGAAGGUGGCCUGUGAGGGUUGCUGGAGGUAUCAGAAGUGCGAAUGCUGACAUAAGUAACGAUAAUGCGGGUGAAAAACCCGCACGCCGGAAGACCAAGGGUUCCUGUCCAACGUUAAUCGGGGCAGGGUGAGUCGACCCCUAAGGCGAGGCCGAAAGGCGUAGUCGAUGGGAAACAGGUUAAUAUUCCUGUACUCGGUGUUACUGCGAAGGGGGGACGGAGAAGGCUAUGUUGGCCGGGCGACGGUUGUCCCGGUUUAAGCAUGUAGGCGGAUGUUCCAGGUAAAUCCGGAACGUUACUAACGCUGAGGUGUGAUGACGAGGCACUACGGUGCUGAAGUGACAAAUGCCCUGCUUCCAGGAAAAGCCUCUAAGCAUCAGGUAACAUCAAAUCGUACCCCAAACCGACACAGGUGGUCAGGUAGAGAAUACCAAGGCGCUUGAGAGAACUCGGGUGAAGGAACUAGGCAAAAUGGUGCCGUAACUUCGGGAGAAGGCACGCUGAUGGUAAGUGAAGUGACUUGCUCAUGGAGCUGAAAUCAGUCGAAGAUACCAGCUGGCUGCAACUGUUUAUUAAAAACACAGCACUGUGCAAACACGAAAGUGGACGUAUACGGUGUGACGCCUGCCCGGUGCCGGAAGGUUAAUUGAUGGGGUUAUCCGUAAGGAGAAGCUCUUGAUCGAAGCCCCGGUAAACGGCGGCCGUAACUAUAACGGUCCUAAGGUAGCGAAAUUCCUUGUCGGGUAAGUUCCGACCUGCACGAAUGGCGUAAUGAUGGCCAGGCUGUCUCCACCCGAGACUCAGUGAAAUUGAACUCGCUGUGAAGAUGCAGUGUACCCGCGGCAAGACGGAAAGACCCCGUGAACCUUUACUAUAGCUUGACACUGAACACUGGUCCUUGAUGUGUAGGAUAGGUGGGAGGCUUUGAAGUGUGGACGCCAGUCUGCAUGGAGCCAUCCUUGAAAUACCACCCUUUAAUGGCUGGUGUUCUAACGUGGGCCCCUAAUCGGGGUUGCGGACAGUGUCUGGUGGGUAGUUUGACUGGGGCGGUCUCCUCCUAAAGAGUAACGGAGGAGCACGAAGGUCAGCUAAUCCUGGUCGGACAUCAGGAGGUUAGUGCAAUGGCAUAAGCUGGCUUGACUGCGAGCGUGACGGCGCGAGCAGGUGCGAAAGCAGGUCAUAGUGAUCCGGUGGUUCUGAAUGGAAGGGCCAUCGCUCAACGGAUAAAAGGUACUCCGGGGAUAACAGGCUGAUACCGCCCAAGAGUUCAUAUCGACGGCGGUGUUUGGCACCUCGAUGUCGGCUCAUCACAUCCUGGGGCUGAAGUAGGUCCCAAGGGUAUGGCUGUUCGCCAUUUAAAGUGGUACGCGAGCUGGGUUUAGAACGUCGUGAGACAGUUCGGUCCCUAUCUGCCGUGGGCGCUGGAGAAUUGAGGGGGGCUGCUCCUAGUACGAGAGGACCGGAGUGGACGCAUCACUGGUGUUCGGGUUGUCAUGCCAAUGGCAUUGCCCGGUAGCUAAAUGCGGAAGAGAUAAGUGCUGAAAGCAUCUAAGCACGAAACUUGCCCCGAGAUGAGUUCUCCCUGACUCCUUGAGAGUCCUGAAGGAACGUUGAAGACGACGACGUUGAUAGGCCGGGUGUGUAAGCGCAGCGAUGCGUUGAGCUAACCGGUACUAAUGAACCGUGAGGCUUAACCUU
rnacentral:rRNA from 2 species